UGGUGUCUAUAAGUUUCCCUAUUGAACUUAAAAAAUACGUCUUGACAUUGGUCUAUUCCCUUUAUCAAGGUGUUAAUUAAUUUUUUUCCGCGUGCCCUUUACUGGUGAAGUGUGCGUAUGAGUGACUUAUGAACCUUUAAGGCUCCCAAUAAGGCCUAUGUUUAGUUUACCGCUACGUAAGGAAUGCGUUUAUUCGCCUAAGAGUUUCUUGUGUUUCUGUAGAAUUCCAGUAUACUGUUAUCUCCACGGGAUUUUUUUGGAAAAAAAAAAAAAACUACUACAAAGGAGGAAUCGUGAGAACCACGAUUCUGAAUAAUGGAGUCAGGAUAGAGACCAGUUCUGAGAAGCAGUUUUUCGUCGUCCUACAAUUGUGCAUAUAGACAGCCAUUUUCACUGUUGACAAAACCCAGGUCAAAAUGUUGCAAUUUUUCCUUUUAGUCUCACUUUUGUCCAUUGUUUUUGGUUUGGGAAACGUGCCAGGUAACUUUGAUUAAAAAACCUUACUACUGUGGUUAAGCUUAAAUGUUUUACGCAUUUAUAGCAAGAGGAAGAUGUUGUCAACCAGUGGCUUACCCUGUGGAGCUCAGUCAGUAGACUGACCAAGAAAGUGUCUUCUUUUAGACGUGGCACUGACCAUUUCUAGUAGAAGUACCAGCAAGAGGUUUUAGUUAGUCUUAUGAAAUCUGGGCUGUCAAGCCAAGCACUGGGGCACUUCCAAUCAUUCAGCAAUUAAGACGGUGGGAAAAAAAAUAGUUUAGAAUGGUUGGAGAGCAAGAUAGAGAUCAGAAGAUAGAGAAGGACUGUAAUACAGUAGUUAAAGAUUGGCUGGAGAGCAUGACUGAAGAAAGAGAGUGAGAAUUGGAGCAAAAUAAAUGGCUGAAAAGUAAGUGCAGCUAGUGGCCGAUGAAACACUGCAAACAUCACGUAGUAAUGCCUACAGAGCCCUAUAAGAGAUGUGACAGCAGAGGGGAACCCACAGAGACAAAAGACAAUUGAGUGGCACUAGUAUAGGAAAAGCAGAAACACUGCCACCAUAAUCAGCACUACCCACCUCCAGUAGAAGGGAAGAAGAGAGGCAAUAGCUGAACCAACGAGACUACCUCUAGAAAUAGGUAAAACAGAACUGCACCUGCAAAGAAAACUGCAACGAAAGGAAAAACGGCAAAGGGAACAACACUUAACACAACACCUCCAAAUCUUAUGGGGAAAGGUAACAACAGAACCAACAAGAUCGCCUCUUUUUAGGAAGAAAGGCAGUAACUGUAACAAGGCUGCAACUACACUAUAAGGCCACCUACAGCAAAAGAAAAUGCUGCAGUGGCACAAACUCCACACUCUUCCAAGAGCCCAACAAGACCACCUCCUCCAGAAUGAAAAGCAACAGCAGCAACAACAAGACCACCUCCUGUAGAAGGAUAGACUGCAG